rnacentral:rRNA from 1 species
AUCUACGGCCAUGCUACCCUGAACAAGCCCAAUCCUGUCUGAUCUUGGAAACUAAGCAGGGUAGGGCCUGGUUAGUACUUGGAUGGGAGACCACCUAGGAAGACCAGGUGAUAUAGGCA